CCAAUAGGCCAGGUCCUGGGAGCCUAGGACCAUGGAAAAGGAGAGAGGACACCACAACCUCCCACCAGUGCAGUCGUUCCAGAAACCCAACAAGAAAUUUAAAGAAUAUGUGAAUGGCAGUAACCUCAUCACCAAGCUGCAGGCCAAGCACGAUUUACUCAAGCAGACCUUGGGCGAAGGGGAAAGAGCAGAAUGUGGCACCACCAGGAUUCAGGACAAGCUAUACCGCUUGUAGUCGAGAGCUGCAUCCGUUACAUCAAUUUAUAUGGACUCCAGCAGCAGGGGAUCUUCAGAGUGCCAGGAUCUCAGGUGGAAGUCAAUGACAUCAAAAAUUCCUUUGAGAGAGGUGAAGACCCCCUUGUGGAUGAUCAAAAUGAACGAGAUAUCAAUUCAGUCGCUGGUGUUUUAAAACUGUAUUUCCGAGGACUGGAAAACCCACUCUUUCCUAAGGAAAGGUUUCAAGAUUUGAUAUCUACUAUUAAACUGGAGAACCCAGCCGAGAGGGUGCACCAGAUCCAACAAAUCCUCGUCACCCUUCCCCGCGUGGUCAUUGUGGUCAUGAGAUACCUCUUCGCUUUCCUCAACCACCUCUCCCAGUAUAGCGACGAGAACAUGAUGGAUCCCUACAACCUGGCCAUCUGCUUCGGGCCUACCCUCAUGCACAUCCCUGAUGGGCAGGACCCUGUGUCCUGCCAGGCACACA
rnacentral:sRNA from 1 species